GAUGAAGACGUAGCGAAAUGCGAUACUUGGUGUGAAUUGCAGAAUCCCGUGAACCAUCGAGUCUUUGAACGCAAGUUGCGCCCGAAGCCAUUAGGCCGAGGGCACGCCUGCCUGGGCGUCACACGUCGUUGCCCCCCCAUCUACUCCUUCGGGAUUGCGGGGGGCGGAUGAUGGCCUCCCGUGCGCCUCGUCGCGCGGUUGGCCUAAAUGCCAAGUCCUCGGCGACGCACGCCACGACAAUCGGUGGUUGCGAAACCUCGGUUGCCCGUCGUGUGCGGUCGUCGCGCAUCGAGGGCUCGAAAAAAUUGCCGGGCUUCGGCUCGACUUUCAACGCGACCCCAGGUCAGGCGGGGUUACCCGCUGAAUUUAAGCAUAUCAAUAAGCGGAGGA
rnacentral:misc_RNA from 1 species